UGGGGAAUAUUGGACAAUGGGCGAAAGCCUGAUCCAGCCAUGCCGCGUGUGUGAAGACGGUCUUCGGAUUGUAAAGCACUUCAAGUUGGGAGGAAGGGCAGUAAGCGAAUACCUUGCUGUUUUGACGUUACCGACAGAAUAAGCACCGGCUAACUCUGUGCCAGCAGCCGCGGUAAUACAGAGGGUGCAAGCGUUAAUCGGAAUUACUGGGCGUAAAGCGCGCGUAGGUGGUUCGUUAAGUUGAAUGUGAAAGCCCCGGGCUCAACCUGGGAACGGCAUCCAAAACUGGCGAGCUAGAGUAGGGCAGAGGGUGGUGGAAGUUCCUGGGUAGCGGUGAAAUACGUAGAUAUAGGAAGGAACACCAGUGGCGAAGGCGACCACCUGGGCUCAUACUGACACUGAGGUGCGAAAGAGUGGGGAGCAAACAGG
rnacentral:rRNA from 1 species